AGAGUUUGAUCCUGGCUCAGGAUGAACGCUGGCGGCGUGCCUAAUACAUGCAAGUCGGACGCAAUGCUUCGGCAUUGAGUGGCGAACGGGUGAGUAAUACAUAAGCAACCUGCCCCUGUGAGGGGGAUAACUGCUGGAAACGGCAGCUAAGACCGCAUAGGCAUACAUGACGCAUGUCGAGUAUGUUAAAUAUCCCACGGGAUAGCACAGGGAUGGGCUUAUGACGCAUUAGCUAGCUGGUGAGGUAGAGGCUCACCAGGGCGACGAUGCGUAGCCGGCCUGAGAGGGUGGACGGCCACACUGGGACUGAGACACGGCCCAGACUCCUACGGGAGGCAGCAGUAGGGAAUUUUCGGCAAUGGGCGAAAGCCUGACCGAGCAACGCCGCGUGAAGGAAGAAGUCAUUCGUGAUGUAAACUUCUGUUAUAAAGGAAGAACGGCGCCUGUAGGGAAUGACAGGCGAGUGACGGUACUUUAUGAGGAAGCCACGGCUAACUACGUGCCAGCAGCCGCGGUAAUACGUAGGUGGCGAGCGUUGUCCGGAAUUAUUGGGCGUAAAGAGCAUGUAGGCGGCUUAAUAAGUCGAGCGUGAAAAUGCGGGGCUCAACCCCGUAUGGCGCUGGAAACUGUUAGGCUUGAGUGCAGGAGAGGAAAGGGGAAUUCCCAGUGUAGCGGUGAAAUGCGUAGAUAUUGGGAGGAACACCAGUGGCGAAGGCGCCUUUCUGGACUGUGUCUGACGCUGAGAUGCGAAAGCCAGGGUAGCGAACGGGAUUAGAUACCCCGGUAGUCCUGGCCGUAAACGAUGGGUACUAGGUGUAGGAGGUAUCGACCCCUUCUGUGCCGGAGUUAACGCAAUAAGUACCCCGCCUGGGGAGUACGGCCGCAAGGUUGAAACUCAAAGGAAUUGACGGGGGCCCGCACAAGCAGCGGAGCAUGUGGUUUAAUUCGAUGCAACGCGAAAAACCUUACCAAGACUUGACAUCGUAUGACCGCCAUGGAAACAUGGCUUCUCUUCGGAGCAUGCAGACAGGUGGUGCAUGGUUGUCGUCAGCUCGUGUCGUGAGAUGUUCGGUUAAGUCCGAUAACGAGCGCAACCCUUAUUACUAGUUGCCAAUAUUAAGUUAGGAACUCUAGUGAGACUGCCGUGGAUAACACGGAGGAAGGUGGGGAUGACGUCAAAUCAUCAUGCCCCUUACGUCUUGGGCUACACACGUGCUACAAUGGCUGUUACAAAGAGCUGCAAACCCGUAAGGGCAAGCGAAUCUCAAAAAGGCAGUCUCAGUUCGGAUUGUGGGCUGCAACCCGCCCACAUGAAGUCGGAGUUGCUAGUAAUCCCGAAUCAGCAUGUCGGGGUGAAUGCGUUCCCGGGCCUUGUACACACCGCCCGUCACGCCAUGGGAGUUGGUAAUACCCAAAGUCGGUGCGCUAACCGCAAGGAGGCAGCCGCCUAAGGUAGGAUCAAUGACUGGGGUGAAGUCGUAACAAGGUAGCAGUACCGGAAGGUGCGGCUG
rnacentral:rRNA from 1 species